rnacentral:rRNA from 1 species
ACGUACACUCCUACGGGAGGCAGCAGUGGGGAAUAUUGCACAAUGGGCGCAAGCCUGAUGCAGCCAUGCCGCGUGUAUGAAGAAGGCCUUCGGGUUGUAAAGUACUUUCAGCGGGGAGGAAGGCGAUAAGGUUAAUAACCUUGUUGAUUGACGUUACCCGCAGAAGAAGCACCGGCUAACUCCGUGCCAGCAGCCGCGGUAAUACGGAGGGUGCAAGCGUUAAUCGGAAUUACUGGGCGUAAAGCGCACGCAGGCGGUCUGUCAAGUCGGAUGUGAAAUCCCCGGGCUCAACCUGGGAACUGCAUUCGAAACUGGCAGGCUAGAGUCUUGUAGAGGGGGGUAGAAUUCCAGGUGUAGCGGUGAAAUGCGUAGAGAUCUGGAGGAAUACCGGUGGCGAAGGCGGCCCCCUGGACAAAGACUGACGCUCAGGUGCGAAAGCGUGGGGAGCAAACAGGAUUAGAUACCCCAGUAGUCCCAUGA